AGGAAGAAAGCUUGCUUUCUUUGCUGGCGACCGGCGCACGGGUGAGUAACACGUAUCCAACCUGCCGUCUACUCUUGGACAGCCUUCUGAAAGGAAGAUUAAUACAAGAUGGCAUCAUGAGUCCGCAUGUUCACAUGAUUAAAGAUUUAUCGGUGUACGAUGGGGAUGCGUUCCAUUAGGUAGUAGGCGGGGUAACGGCCCACCUAGCCAACGAUGGAUAGGGGUUCUGAGAGGAAGGUCCCCACAUUGGAACUGAGACACGGUCCAAACUCC
rnacentral:rRNA from 1 species